GCGCAACCCCUGUCACUAGUUGCUAACAUUCAGUUGAGGACUCUAGUGAGACUGCCUACGCAAGUAGAGAGGAAGGUGGGGAYGACGUCAAAUCAUCACGGCCCUUACGUCUGGGCCACACACGUAAUACAAUGGCCGGUACAGAGGGCAGUACACAGCGAUGUGAUGCAAAUCUCGAAAGCCGGUCUCAGUUCGGAUUGGAGUCUGCAACUCGACUCUAUGAAGCUGGAAUCGCUAGUAAUCGCGCAUCAGCCAUGGCGC
rnacentral:rRNA from 1 species